rnacentral:rRNA from 1 species
UACGGGGGGAGCAAGCGUUGUUCGGAUUUACUGGGCGUAAAGGGCGCGUAGGCGGCCAGCACAAGUCAGUUGUGAAAUCUCCGAGCUUAACUCGGAAAGGUCAACUGAUACUGUGCGGCUAGAGUGCGGAAGGGGCAACUGGAAUUCUCGGUGUAGCGGUGAAAUGCGUAGAUAUCGAGAGGAACACCUGCGGCGAAGGCGGGUUGCUGGGCUGACACUGACGCUGAGGCGCGAAAGCUAGGGGAGCGAACGGG